rnacentral:rRNA from 1 species
UACGUAGGGGGCUAGCGUUGUCCGGAAUCAUUGGGCGUAAAGAGCGUGUAGGCGGCUCGGUAAGUCCGCUGUGAAAGCCCAGGGCUCAACCCUGGAAUGCCAGUGGAAACUGUCGAGCUAGAGUCCGGAAGAGGCGAGUGGAAUUCCUGGUGUAGCGGUGAAAUGCGCAGAUAUCAGGAGGAACACCAAUGGCGAAGGCAGCUCGCUGGGACGGUACUGACGCUGAGACGCGAAAGCGUGGGGAGCAAACAGG